rnacentral:misc_RNA from 1 species
UCUCGGCUCAUAUCGGGGAAGCCCUAACGAUCAGACAACGAGCUCGAGGGUAAUCCCGAGGGAAGUCCACGACCGAGGUCGUCGGUGACCGACGACGUCGUGUGACCCCGUAGAGACUGCAAUGGCAUCGCUUCCGGGUGCAAACCCAAAUCUAUAGGCGGUGCAAUACGCCGGCCCCGAUGACCGAAUGCAUCGGGUGAAGGGAUAGUCCUGGCCUUCGGAUAACGGAGGAAUCGCAGGUCGUCAGCUCGUGCCGUGAGGUGUUGGCUUAAGUGCCGCAACGAGCGCAACCCCUGCCCUUAGUUGCCAGCGGGUAAUGCCGGGGACUCUAAGGGGACUGCCGGGGACAACUCGGAGGAAGGUGGGGAUGACGUUUAGGAACACCAAC